rnacentral:sRNA from 1 species
UGAUGCCAGGGUCAAAAGCCUGAAACCACGAUGUGCUUGCACAGGAGUGGUUUUAUGGCUUAAUGACCCGCCCCGAUAUGAGCAU